UGCAAAUUGCGAGGUUCGAGUGAUUGGUUGUGUUUCGAGCUUUUCCACAUUUGGUGGAGGGUCGUAGGAUGUUUUCCGACCUAAAAAGUUCAAAAACCGGAGUUCUGGACGAGUCCUGAGAGUUUUUACUCUCGGGGACCGGUCCCUGAUGGGAGAGACCGGUCCCCUCAGAACAGUGUCGCGGCAGGGUUUGAGACAACUGGUCCCUGGCUGGGAGAGACCGGUUUCCGAGCGCGUAUUUUGCGUGGAGGGUCCGAGAGACCGGUCCCCGGCGGGGAGAGACCGGUUCCCGAACGUUGGAUUUUUGGGGCAGGCCGAGAGACCGGUCCCAUGUCGGGGAGACCGGUCCCUCAGUCCGAAAACUGUCCAGUCCGGGCUUUGCACAGGGUGCAAAGUUGAGGGACUUAGUUGGAUUUUGUUACACUAGAGGGCCUAUAUGGCCACUUCUCCUUCUCUUCUCCCUCAUUCCACCAUCCCACUUGCUCCUAGAGAGAGAAGAAGAAGAGGGAGAGGAAGAAGAAGAAGAAGAAGAAGAAGAAGAGAGCUUAUUGGAGGCUUGGANGUUUAGACUUCAGUACAGCUUUCCACCCCCAGAGUGACGGGCAGUCGGAGCAUACCAUACAGACUCUCGAGGACAUACUUCGAGCCUGUGUGAUUGACUUCCAGGGAGGAUGGUCGCAGCAUCUACCGAUGACAGAGUUUACUUAUAAUAAUAGUUAUCAAGCAAGCAUCAAGAUGGCACCUUUCGAGGCACUCUAUGGACGGAAGUGUAGAUCGCCACUUCAUUGGAGUGAAGGUGGUGAGAGAUUGGCUUUAAACCCAGAUGUGCUCCAGGAAGCGGAGGACAAGGUUCGCAUUGCUCGGGAGCGACUAUUGACAGCCCAAAGUAGGCAAAAGAGUUAUGUUGACAGGCGUCGACGAGACUUGGAGUUCCAGAUUGGUGAUCAUGUCUUCUUGAAAGUCUCGCCAACCAGAGGGAUUAGAAGAUUUGGAAUCCGGGGUAAGCUGAGCCCCCGAUAUAUUGGACCGUAUGAGGUUUUGGAGCGUGUAGGUCCGGUAGUGUAUCGACUUGCGCUACCUCCGAACCUAUCGGGUGUACACAAUGUAUUUCAUGUAUCGGUCAUUCGGAAGUACAUCCACGAUCCAGCUCAUGUGCUUGACGCUACACCCUUGGAGCUGAGAGAGGAUUUGAGUUUAAAGAGCAACCCGUGAGGAUCUUGGCUCGCGAGAUGAAGAAACUACGGAAUCGGGACAUUCCGUAUGUGAAGGUUCUUUGGAGCAACCACGGAGAGCGGGAGGCCAUGUGAGAGCUAGAGAGUGCGCUGCAGGAGCGCUAUCCCCAUCUUUUUCAGAUGGAGUCUUGAGGUAUGUAGUUGCUUUGAGUUUCGCGGAUGAAACUCCUUUUUAGGAGGGGUGAAUGUAGCACACUGGACCGAUGCAAAUUGCGAAGUUCGAGUGAUUGGUUGUAUUUCGAGCUUUUCCACAUUUAGUGGAGGGUCGUAAGAUGUUUUCCGACCUAAAAAGUUCAAAAAUCGGAGUUCUAGACGAGUCCUGAGAGUUUUUACUCUCGGGGACCGGUCCCUGAUGGGAGAGACCGGUCCCCUCAGAACAGUGCCGCCCCGGGUUUGAGACAACCGGUCCCUGGCUGGGAGAGACCGGUUCCCGAGUGCGUAUUUUGCGUGGAGGGUCCAAGAGACCGGUGCCCGGCGGGGAGAGACCGGUUCCCGAACGUUGGAUUUUCGGGGCAGGCCGAGAGACCGGUCCCAGGUCGGGGAGAUCGGUCCCUCAGUCCGAAAACUGCCCAGUCCGGGCUUUGCACAGGGUGCAAAGUUGAGGGACUUAGUUGGAUUUUGUUACACUAGAGGGCCUAUAUAGCCACUUCUCCUUCUCUUCUCCCUCAUUCCACCAUCCCAUUUGCUCCUAGAGAGAGAAGAAGAAGAAGGAGAGGAAGAAGAAGAAAAAGAAGAGAGCUUGUUGGAGGCUUGGAUCUUCACCCACACCCUCUCUUCUUCCUUUUGGUGGCUUGGACCUUGGAUUUGGAGCUUGAGAGGAGGGAGAUCUCCACACUUGGAGGACUUUGGAUCUUGUUUGAGGCUUCUAAAAGAUUAGUAGCUCAUUUUCUCCCCCUAGAUUGGAGUUUUGUUGCUUUGUGGUAGAUGAAACCCUGAGAUGGGAUUUUAGGGUUGAUUUUGGGGCUUUUUGAUCUAGGGCUUUGGAGGCUCAAUUUCUUGGUUUAGGAUCUUUCUUUGGGUUAGAUUGGAAGGAUUCUAGCCCUCUUUUGGAGCUUGAGAGAGAUUUUCUACUCCCUAGGUGAGUUUUCGCCCUUUUGCUUGUG
rnacentral:lncRNA from 1 species